GACGAACGCUGGCGGCGUGCCUAAUACAUGCAAGUAGAACGCUGAAGAGAGGAGCUUGCUCUUCUUGGAUGAGUUGCGAACGGGUGAGUAACGCGUAGGUAACCUGCCUUGUAGCGGGGGAUAACUAUUGGAAACGAUAGCUAAUACCGCAUAACAAUGGAUGACACAUGUCAUUUAUUUGAAAGGGGCAAUUGCUCCACUACAAGAUGGACCUGCGUUGUAUUAGCUAGUAGGUGAGGUAAUGGCUCACCUAGGCGACGAUACAUAGCCGACCUGAGAGGGUGAUCGGCCACACUGGGACUGAGACACGGCCCAGACUCCUACGGGAGGCAGCAGUAGGGAAUCUUCGGCAAUGGGGGCAACCCUGACCGAGCAACGCCGCGUGAGUGAAGAAGGUUUUCGGAUCGUAAAGCUCUGUUGUAAGUCAAGAACGGGUGUGAGAGUGGAAAGUUCACACUGUGACGGUAGCUUACCAGAAAGGGACGGCUAACUACGUGCCAGCAGCCGCGGUAAUACGUAGGUCCCGAGCGUUGUCCGGAUUUAUUGGGCGUAAAGCGAGCGCAGGCGGUUUGAUAAGUCUGAAGUUAAAGGCUGUGGCUCAACCAUAGUUCGCUUUGGAAACUGUCAAACUUGAGUGCAGAAGGGGAGAGUGGAAUUCCAUGUGUAGCGGUGAAAUGCGUAGAUAUAUGGAGGAACACCGGUGGCGAAAGCGGCUCUCUGGUCUGUAACUGACGCUGAGGCUCGAAAGCGUGGGGAGCGAACAGGAUUAGAUACCCUGGUAGUCCACGCCGUAAACGAUGAGUGCUAGGUGUUGGAUCCUUUCCGGGAUUCAGUGCCGCAGCUAACGCAUUAAGCACUCCGCCUGGGGAGUACGACCGCAAGGUUGAAACUCAAAGGAAUUGACGGGGGCCCGCACAAGCGGUGGAGCAUGUGGUUUAAUUCGAAGCAACGCGAAGAACCUUACCAGGUCUUGACAUCCCGAUGCUAUUUCUAGAGAUAGAAAGUUACUUCGGUACAUCGGUGACAGGUGGUGCAUGGUUGUCGUCAGCUCGUGUCGUGAGAUGUUGGGUUAAGUCCCGCAACGAGCGCAACCCCUAUUGUUAGUUGCCAUCAUUCAGUUGGGCACUCUAGCGAGACUGCCGGUAAUAAACCGGAGGAAGGUGGGGAUGACGUCAAAUCAUCAUGCCCCUUAUGACCUGGGCUACACACGUGCUACAAUGGUUGGUACAACGAGUUGCGAGUCGGUGACGGCGAGCUAAUCUCUUAAAGCCAAUCUCAGUUCGGAUUGUAGGCUGCAACUCGCCUACAUGAAGUCGGAAUCGCUAGUAAUCGCGGAUCAGUACGCCGCGGUGAAUACGUUCCCGGGCCU
rnacentral:rRNA from 1 species